rnacentral:rRNA from 1 species
UACAGAGGGGGCAAGCGUUGUUCGGAUUUACUGGGCGUAAAGGGCUCGUAGGCGGCCAACUAAGUCAGACGUGAAAUCCCUCGGCUUAACCGGGGAACUGCGUCUGAUACUGGAUGGCUUGAGUUUGGGAGAGGGAUGCGGAAUUCCAGGUGUAGCGGUGAAAUGCGUAGAUAUCUGGAGGAACACCGGUGGCGAAGGCGGCAUCCUGGACCAACACUGACGCUGAGUGAGCGAAAGCCAGGGGAGCAAACGGG